rnacentral:lncRNA from 12 species
AGCAUUUUUUUUUAUUUGUAUUUUUUGGUAUCCAGGGUACCUCUGAGUAGUAGAUUUUUGAUCUUUAGCCCAUCCUCAAAACUGAAAACCAACUCUCCAUUUCUCCAGGGUUUACCUUUUCAUCACUUGAAGACCAGUGGUUAUAUGAUUUGGACCCACUGAGGAAGGUAGAAUGAUAUCAGUUCAAAAGUAUUGGAUACCUGUGGAGCACUUUGCAAGAUAUUGCAGGAUUUUCUGGGCUUUCUAUAGAACUACACAGAAGUAUUGCUGAGUACUUUGCAAUAUGAAUUCCUGCAAUUUGCAGGAAUUUGUCAUGCUUUUCAGGUGAUCAUACUAGGCACCUUAAGCCACACUACGAAAGUUGACUGUUACCUUAAGACCCUGGAGACCAUGGCCCUGUGAUCGUGCCAGGGAUGGAGGAGACACACUGUGCGCUGUGUGUUGUGAAGCUGAAGUGUCCACAAAAGACUGCAAAACAUUUCUACGGGGCAGUGUGAUCAUGGUGAAGACAGCAGUAAGAUCUUAUAUAACAGAAGACAGAAAAAGACAGAGAGUCACGUGGAGAUGCACACACAUAUUAGUGAGAGAACACAAAAACAAUCCUGUCAAAAGUGGUGUUAUGUAUGUUCCAUCGCUAGGAGAAAAAACGAGAAGGAAAAUGCUGGUAGGAGCAAGGAAAAUGCUGUGAGAGUUUACCCAGCCAGAAUUGUGGGAUGAAAAGGACAAGAGGUGAGUCCCAUUUCAGUACAGUGGUUAAUGCAAGGCACAGAAAGUUUUGAUUUGGUCUCGAUGUUCCUACUGGAAGUAUGUGAAAGUUUGCAAAUUUAGAGAAAAAGGUCUGUCAUCUACAAAAAGGAAAGAAAAGGCUAAAGGAUGUCCAUGGAUAUGGAUGAGGAAUCCCCGUGGUCAGGGCUGGAUCACAAAUCUGCGCAAACAUUUAUAGGGCCAGCUCUACAAUUUAAGCCAGUCCCUCCAAG